rnacentral:rRNA from 1 species
UGGGUAACCUACCGAGAUCUGGGGGAUAGCCGGCCCAACGGCCGGGUAAUACCGCAUACGCUCUUUCCACGGCAUUGUGGAUUGAGGAAACCUCCGGGGGAUUUCGAGGGGCUCGCGGCCUAUCAGCUAGUUGGUGUGGGUAAUGGCCCACCAAGGCGACGACGGGUAGCCGGCCUGAGAGGGUGACCGGCCACACUGGGACUGAGACACGGCCCAGACUCCGUACGGGAGGCAG